GGGAAGGAAGGGUUUAUUUCAGCUUACAGUUACACAUCACAGACCAUCACUGAGGGAAGCCAGGAGAGGAACUUAAGCAGGGCAGAAACCUGGAGGCA